rnacentral:rRNA from 1 species
AUUGAACGCUGGCGGCAGGCCUAACACAUGCAAGUCGAGCGGAUGAAGGGGGCUUGCUCCUGGAUUCAGCGGCGGACGGGUGAGUAAUGCCUAGGAAUCUGCCUGGUAGUGGGGGAUAACGUCCGGAAACGGGCGCUAAUACCGCAUACGUCCUGAGGGAGAAAGUGGGGGAUCUUCGGACCUCACGCUAUCAGAUGAGCCUAGGUCGGAUUAGCUAGUUGGUGGGGUAAAGGCCUACCAAGGCGACGAUCCGUAACUGGUCUGAGAGGAUGAUCAGUCACACUGGAACUGAGACACGGUCCAGACUCCUACGGGAGGCAGCAGUGGGGAAUAUUGGACAAUGGGCGAAAGCCUGAUCCAGCCAUGCCGCGUGUGUGAAGAAGGUCUUCGGAUUGUAAAGCACUUUAAGUUGGGAGGAAGGGCAGUAAGUUAAUACCUUGCUGUUUUGACGUUACCAACAGAAUAAGCACCGGCUAACUU